rnacentral:rRNA from 1 species
UACGGAGGGUGCAAGCGUUAUCCGGAUUCACUGGGUUUAAAGGGAGCGCAGGCGGAUUUGUAAGUCAGUGGUGAAAGGCUUAAGCUUAACUUGGGAACUGCCAUUGAUACUAUAAGUCUUGAAUGUUGUUGAGGUUUGCGGAAUGGGUAUGUAGCGGUGAAAUGCAUAGAUAUGACCCGGAACACCUAUUGCGAAGGCAGCAGGC